AUUCCAGCUCCAAUAGCGUAUAUUUAAGUUGUUGCGGUUAAAAAGCUCGUAGUUGGAUUUCGGGCGUGGAGGUUCGGUCCGCCGUUUCGGUGUGCACUGUCUUUCUGCGUCUUUCUGUCGGGGACGCGCUUCUGGCCUUAAUUGGCUGGGACGUGGAUUCGACGAGGUUACUUUGAAAAAAUUAGAGUGUUCAAAGCAAGCUAAAGCUCUGAAUACAUUAGCAUGGAAUAACGCGAGAGGACUCGGUCCUUAUUUUGUUGGUCUUCAAGGAUGGAGUAAUGAUUAAGAGGGACAGUUGGGGGCAUUCGUAUUUCAUUGCUAGAGGUGAAAUUCUUGGAUUUAUGGAAGACGAACUUCUGCGAAAGCAUUUGCCAAGGAUGUUUUCAUUG
rnacentral:rRNA from 1 species